rnacentral:rRNA from 1 species
UGGGGAAUAUUGCACAAUGGGCGCAAGCCUGAUGCAGCCAUGCCGCGUGUAUGAAGAAGGCCUUCGGGUUGUAAAGUACUUUCAGUCGGGAGGAAGGUGGUAAGGUUAAUAACCUUAUCAAUUGACGUUACCGACAGAAGAAGCACCGGCUAACUCCGUGCCAGCAGCCGCGGUAAUACGGAGGGUGAAGCGUUAAUCGGAAUUACUGGGCGUAAAGCGCACGCAGGCGGUUGAUUGAGUCAGAUGUGAAAUCCCCGGGCUUAACCCGGGAAUUGCAUCUGAUACUGGUCAGCUAGAGGCUUGUAGAGGGGGGUAGAAUUCCAUGUGUAGCGGUGAAAUGCGUAGAGAUGUGGAGGGAUACCGGUGGCGAAGGCGGCCCCCUGGACAAAGACUGACGCUCAGGUGCGAAAGCGUGGGGAGCAAACAGG